rnacentral:lncRNA from 1 species
AUAUGAUUUGGAUAACUUACUUAACUGCUCUGUGCCUCAGUUUCCUCAUCUAUCUAUAAAUUGGGGUUACCAAUAGUACCUACCAGAUAUGGUUGUUGUGAGGAUUAAAUGAGUUAUGAUAAAUAAAGUGUUGACAACAGUGCCUGGCACAGAAGGAGCAACAUGUAAAUGUAAAUUAUUAUUGGCAAGUGCCCAGAAAGAUUGAUGAGAACCACUGUGGAACUACAUGGAAGAGAGGGAGUUUUUGAAGUCUUUUACAAGUGGAAACUUUUGAAAUGAAAGAAUAGGUAGGUUUUUGGUAAGUAAAGAUGGAGGUAAAUGGUGGAGGGAAAGUCAUUAGAGAAUACAGAGUUAGCCAGAUAAUGCAGUGGAGGCCAAGUCAGGACAGGAGGCUGUUCCUGGAGAAGGGAAUGGAAUGUCUGUGAAGGUCCUGGGAAAGAGAGAAUUUGUUAUGUGCUCCUCAAAUAUGGGCCAUUCAUUCCAACAUUUUCUCUAAAAAAUAUUCCAUAUAUCCUGGGUCUUGGUUCGAUUUCUUGCUACCUAUUCUCAUAGGACCCAGUACUUCUCCCAUCGUAGAAGUGCUGUUGCACUUGCUCACUCACUGUUGCAUUCCCCUCUGCAAGGACACUAUUGGAAUGAGCAAUCUUUUGUUGUUGUUGUUGUUGUUUUGCCAUGCCCACAGCACAUGGGAAUUCCUGGGCCAGAGAUGAAAUCUGCAGCACAGCAGCAACCCAGGCCACUGCAGUGCCAAUGUUGGAUCCUUAACCUACUGUGCCACAGGAGAAGUCCUGGAAAGAGCAGUCUUAGUCUCUGUGUUAUACCUCAGUCUCUGUGUUAUAUUUCAAGUGCCUAACUCACUGACUGGCAUGUGAACAUUCCAUAAAUAUUUGUUGAAUGAAUAGAUGAAUGAUAAUAUGAAGCUAAGAAUGGACAUAGGCUCUCAAAUAUGAAGUUUCAUUUGGUAUUCAGUACCAGGUUUGGGGAAAGGUGAUAGAAGAAAGAAAAAGGGAAGGCUUUGCAUCUCUGGCAAUUAUUUUCAUUUUGUAUUUCUAUCUACAAUAUGAAGGUUGGACUUGAUGAAGGGUCCUAUCUUGUUUUCAAAUAUGAUAUUUCAGUUAAUAAAAAUGAAUGGUAAAAUAAGAUAUUUUGGUUCAAAGUAACAAAACUCAACUUUAUGCUUUCUAAAACCCAAAGACAUUUGUUAUAUAAAUACAGAAAUGAAUAAUAGAAUUGAAGGAUGGAACUGACCCUCUGAAAUGGACUAAAAUUUAAAAAAAAGUAAGAAUACAUUUUCAUACCAUCCCAGGUGAAAUUUCAUUGCUUUUAGUUACAAAAUCCCAGGCGAGAAAAUCUGACUGGCUCCCUUGGUUUGGGUGUAGACUUAGUUUGGAUUCUCAAAGAAGCAGAUCUUGAAAUAAGAGUUUCAGUGCAAACGUAUUACAUGGGGGGGCAUGUAAGAAAGGAACAUGGGCAAGUGGAACGGGGAAGAUAAGGCAUCUAAUAUAGGAUGUUACUAAGCUGGCUCUGACUAAGGGUGACUGGAGGGCAAUCCACUGGGAAAUGGAAAAAUGCCCAGCAGAACAUACACUCAGAGUUAUUCCAUCCAAGCUGGCAAAGGACUGACUACACAUCAACUCCCAUCAUCAUUGGUUGGAGGUGUUAUUAGGGGGUGAUAAUCCUACAGUACUUCUGGCUUGCUCUGUCCUUGGAGAGAACGGUCUUCUUCGGCUUUGGAGAGAGACUUGAGGCAAAAUGUGCUAAGUCUGACACUUGAGUGUUGGGCAAACUGAAGUGGUAAGGGUGAGUGGUAUGGGUAGAGCCUGAACAGCUUGGUCACUGACAUCCCUUUCUAAUUUAAUCAGCUGUGCCUUGAAGGAUGGGAUCCUGUAGUGAUCCCUGUCUAAGGAUGAGGUAGUCAGGGUUCAGUGCGGGCUGCACACCCUAAAGGGUAUAUACAACACAAAUGUGACAGGACCUCAAAGAAGAUAUGGUCAUACUCACAUAUGACUUGAAUGAAAUUUAAGUCACCUAAGCCUAAAGUUAAAGAAAGAGCGCAGGUGGGGCUAUAGCAAUGACACAGCACAUUGAUGGGAUUGUGAGCUGUGAUCUGGUUGGAGAAAUCCUCCGAAGCCAGAGGAAGGAGACCUUGAGAGGUGCUUGUUUGUACUUACUUCAUUAGGUCAUAAACUGUACUGUCUUGGGGCCACUAUCAAGGUAAAUUAUAUUUUUAAUCUCCAAACUUUUAAUACUUUCUUCUGAAGAAGCCGAUUUUAUGCCAUAGCUCACGUUCUUAAUCUUAUAUGGAGGCUUUUAUUAAGUUUGCUUGUGGUUGGUGAUACAUAACUCAAAUGGCUUUUAUUUAUCAUAGAAGUGAUAUAUAUAUAAUGUUAUUAAAAGAUAAGGCCAUAUUUAACCAUUUUAUAGUGUGUGCUUCUAGAUAGAAACUUCUUAGUAAAUACUUUUCUGUGGUCAGUUAUUAAAAGGUGCUGCAAAAUAAUUGUAGCCUCUGGUAUUAAACAUGCAAUUCUUAUUCAUCUAACAAAUAUUUAACAAACACUUACUGAGGGUGAUGCCUUUAAAUGGUAGGUAUAGAACUGCAUAGAAAAAUGUCGCUAUCCUUGUAAACUAGACACUCAUAGUUUCACAAAAGAGAUAAAUUAAAAAAUAAUUGAAAUUCAAGGUUAAAAUUAUAGUAAUGGAGGUGUGUACAAUGGAGAGGCUGCUAACUCAAUGGGGGGAAUAAUUCAAAAGAGGUGUGACCAUCACAUUCCAGUUAGAAGCAGAGAUUAAAGAGUUAUUGUGUCGGAAACGCUUGUUUGCCCAGGGUGUUUUUUCUCUUCUCUAAGGGGAGGAAACCCCCAGGCUAUUGGUAAACAACGUAGCAUUUAGUAAUGAAGCCAGUUGACUAAAUGGUUUAUGGAGAUGAUGUUUCUCUUUUUUUUUUUUUUUUUUUUUUGGGAGUUUGCCCUUUUCUUUGGAUGAAUCUCUAAAAGGGGAGGCAGCCUGGCAAGCCCAUUAGAAGUAGGAGGCUGAAGGUGAAUGUGUAUUAAAACUAGGACAGUGAGUUUGCAUGAUGGUCCAGGAUAGAGUUGAUGAGACAGCCAUUUAUUCAGAGGUGUAUUACCUAGGGUAUGAAGUCAUAGGAGCAGAAAAGUAAAACUUACACUCUACAUACAUGGGCUCUUUUGGCCAUUAUUAAUCUCAGUCCUCUGGGAAGAAAGGAAAUGAUGAGAUGCCCAGGAUUCUAAACUGAGAUGUGUUUUAUAGUAUCUUACAUAGAAAAAAAAAACAAAAAAA